rnacentral:rRNA from 1 species
AGCAGCCGCGGUAAUACGUAGGGGGCUAGCGUUAUCCGGAUUUACUGGGCGUAAAGGGUGCGUAGGCGGUCUUUCAAGUCAGGAGUGAAAGGCUACGGCUCAACCGUAGUAAGCUCUUGAAACUGGGCGACUUGAGUGCAGGAGAGGAGAGUGGAAUUCCUAGUGUAGCGGUGAAAUGCGUAGAUAUUAGGAGGAACACCAGUUGCGAAGGCGGCUCUCUGGACUGUAACUGACGCUGAGGCACGAAAGCGUGGGGAGCAAACAGGAUUAGAUACCCUGGUAGUCCACGCUGUAAACGA